GAUGAACGCUGGCGGCGUGCCUAAUACAUGCAAGUCGAGCGAAUGGAUUAAGAGCUUGCUCUUAUGAAGUUAGCGGCGGACGGGUGAGUAACACGUGGGUAACCUGCCCAUAAGACUGGGAUAACUCCGGGAAACCGGGGCUAAUACCGGAUAACAUUAUGAACCGCAUGGUUCGAAAUUGAAAGGCGGCUUCGGCUGUCACUUAUGGAUGGACCCGCGUCGCAUUAGCUAGUUGGUGAGGUAACGGCUCACCAAGGCAACGAUGCGUAGCCGACCUGAGAGGGUGAUCGGCCACACUGGGACUGAGACACGGCCCAGACUCCUACGGGAGGCAGCAGUAGGGAAUCUUCCGCAAUGGACGAAAGUCUGACGGAGCAACGCCGCGUGGGUGAUGAAGGCUUUCGGGUCGUAAAACUCUGUUGUUAGGGAAGAACAGGUGCUAGUUGAAUAAGCUGGCACCUUGACGGUACCUAACCAGAAAGCCACGGCUAACUACGUGCCAGCCGCCGCGGUAA
rnacentral:rRNA from 1 species